UGCAGUCGAGCGGAACGAGUUAUCUGAACCUUCGGGGGACGAUAACGGCGUCGAGCGGCGGACGGGUGAGUAAUGCCUAGGAAAUUGCCCUGAUGUGGGGGAUAACCAUUGGAAACGAUGGCUAAUACCGCAUAACGCCUACGGGCCAAAGAGGGGGACCUUCGGGCAUCUCGCGUCAGGAUAUGCCUAGGUGGGAUUAGCUAGUUGGUGAGGUAAGGGCUCACCAAGGCGACGAUCCCUAGCUGGUCUGAGAGGAUGAUCAGCCACACUGGAACUGAGACACGGUCCAGACUCCUACGGGAGGCAGCAGUGGGGAAUAUUGCACAAUGGGCGCAAGCCUGAUGCAGCCAUGCCGCGUGUGUGAAGAAGGCCUUCGGGUUGUAAAGCACUUUCAGUCGUGAGGAAGGUAGUGUAGUUAAUAGCUGCAUUAUUUGACGUUAGCGACAGAAGAAGCACCGGCUAACUCCGUGCCAGCAGCCGCGGUAAUACGGAGGGUGCGAGCGUUAAUCGGAAUUACUGGGCGUAAAGCGCAUGCAGGUGGUUUGUUAAGUCAGAUGUGAAAGCCCGGGGCUCAACCUCGGAAUUGCAUUUGAAACUGGCAGACUAGAGUACU
rnacentral:rRNA from 1 species